GAGUGCUGAAGAGUACAGACAAACUGCCGACAAGGACGACGUCAGAGGCGAGUAGAAGCGCACAAAAGAUACACUCACCAUGCAGACUUCCGUGUUCUUCAUCGUUCUAUGUGCCAUAACUUUGAGUUACGCAUUCCCGACACCGCAAGAUGAUGCGUCACGAGGGAGUCUGGCAGUGGGCGUGCAGCGGGCGAAGGGCGGCG